UGGGGUAGAGCUCAGUGGUAGAGUGUGUGCUUAGCAUGCAUGAGGUCCUGGGUUUAAUUCCCAAUAUCUCCA
rnacentral:tRNA from 1 species